rnacentral:rRNA from 1 species
GAUGAACGCUGGCGGCGUGCCUAACACAUGCAAGUCGAACGAAGCACUUUGAUUGAUUCUUCGGAUGAUCGAUAAGUGACUGAGUGGCGGACGGGUGAGUAACGCGUGGGUAACCUGCCUCAUACAGGGGGAUAACAGUUAGAAAUGACUGCUAAUACCGCAUAACCCGCUAGGAUCGCAUGAUCCGGACGGAAAAGAUUUAUCGGUACGAGAUGGACCCGCGUCUGAUUAGCUAGUUGGUGAGGUAACGGCCCACCAAGGCGACGAUCAGUAGCCGGCCUGAGAGGGUGAACGGCCACAUUGGGACUGAGACACGGCCCAAACUCCUACGGGAGGCAGCAGUGGGGAAUAUUGGGCAAUGGGGAAACCCUGACCCAGCAACGCCGCGUGGAGGAAGAAGGUUUCGGAUCGUAAACCUCUGUCUUCGGGACGAGUAAUGACGGUACCCGAGGAGGAAGCACCGGCUAACUACGU